rnacentral:rRNA from 1 species
CCUACGGGAGGCAGCAGUGAGGAAUAUUGGUCAAUGGACGAGAGUCUGAACCAACCAAGUAGCGUGAAGGAUGACUGCCCUAUGGGUUGUAAACUUCUUUUAUAUGGGAAUAAAAUGUUCCACGUGUGGGAUUUUGUAUGUACCAUAUGAAUAAGGAUCGGCUAACUCCGUGCCAGCAGCCGCGGUAAUACGGAGGAUCCGAGCGUUAUCCGGAUUUAUUGGGUUUAAAGGGAGCGUAGGUGGAUUGUUAAGUCAGUUGUGAAAGUUUGCGGCUCAACCGUAAAAUUGCAGUUGAAACUGGCAGUCGUGAGUACAGUAGAGGUGGGCGGAAUUCGUGGUGUAGCGGUGAAAUGCUUAGAUAUCACGAAGAACUCCGAUUGCGAAGGCAGCUCACUGGACUGCAACUGACACUGAGGCUCGAAAGUGUGGGUAUCAAACAGGAUGAGAUACCCCAGUAGUA